rnacentral:misc_RNA from 1 species
CCGAGUUUACAACUCCCAAACCCCUGUGAACAUACCUAUACGUUGCCUCGGCGGAUCAGCCCGCGCCCCGUUAAAACGGGACGGCCCGCCCGAGGACCCCUAAACUCUGUUUUUAGUGGAACUUCUGAGUAAAACAAACAAAUAAAUCA